rnacentral:lncRNA from 1 species
GUUCCUCCCUGGCAAGGCAGCUUGCUUUGUGCUGUGGGAGACAGUAUGGAGCUGUGGACAUGCAGACAGUCUGUCCUCCAAAGUCCCUGAUGUGGAAAUGCAGCAUCCUGACUGAAGGGUGUGAUUUCAGCCCGUCUCCAUAACUCCACCAGAUGCCAAGUGCUGCUGACCUGAACAAAGAGGUCAAAAGUGGACAAAAAAACAACCAGCCUGGAAAGAUUACAAGCUAAGGAAUACUGCUCAACACAUCACCGCAGUAAGCUUAUUUUCUGUGGAGAAACUAGAACGCCAGAACAGAUUCUCUGGAAGUGAUGGCAUUACUGGCACAGCCAAAACUGUUCUUCACGGAGAGAAAACCCAGCUGGGAGAAGCAGCAGCCGAGCUUUUCAUUACGCAAGUGUUCCAGAAAGGAUCAAGCAUCUUACCUGUGAGAGCAAGGUCCUGUGCUUUUUCUCAGGCUGUGCACACAGAAAUGGAGGCUCUCCAAACUUGCACUUGCUUGUUUAAACCAUGGCCUUCUGUGACUAAAAUAAUGCCGAUGGCAUAUUUUGCAUGAAUAAUUAAACAUUAUUAGGGAGAUAAUGGCCAUCUCUUACCUCCUUUUAAUGGAUUUUUUACAAUGUACACUUCACUCUCUUUUACUUAUAAAUGAAGAGGGAAUGAUUCUGAGCCAUCAAAAUCAUUGAGAGGUUAAUGUAUUGGCACCACUCUGGCUAUUUUCCUCAGGUGAAACCCCGGUUGUGCUGGAGUCAGCUCUUCAUUUUGCUGUUGGUCUUGAUACAGCUGGGAUUUUUACCUCUGGAGCUCAGUGUUAACUGAGAGAGGUCUGGGGAGGCAACUGAGAAACUGUCUGUGAUGCUUUGUUGUCUCCUGUGCUCAGGUAAAUAAGAUUUUGUACAUUCUUCCAUACAGACAGAUUUUCAUCUAAGAUACUUAUUUUCCAUUCCUACCCCCAAAAAUUCACAAGAUACUAAAUUUUAACUAAUUUGCCUCACUCCAAAGGGGCAGCACUAGUUAUUAUUUGCACUAUAGUGCUUUUCAGCCUUUGUUACUUUGAAGGACUUGUAAAAAUAGUAUUUUAAAAUUCAGUCACUGUCAUUUUCUGGGGUGAAAAAAUGACACCAUUUCUUUGGCACUGUAAACUUAUCUUUCUUACUGUUUAGCCUGGUUGCGGUUAGGCUGUGCUGACAUUAGUAAAAUCACACCCUUAUUGGGUAUUUAAGGGAGCUUCAAAACAAUUUUUAUGGUCCAGAAAAAGAAAUCUGACGGAAAAAUAAUGUAAAACUAUUUGUCUAAUUGUGAUUACAGUGCUUAAUACACCAUAAUUGGUUGUCAUAGGGUCUAACUUGAGUUAUAA